rnacentral:rRNA from 1 species
GAUGAACGCUGGCGGCGUGCUUAACACAUGCAAGUCGAACGGAAAGGCCCUGCUUUUGUGGGGUGCUCGAGUGGCGAACGGGUGAGUAACACGUGCGUAACCUGCCCUUGACUUUGUGAUAACUUCUGGAAACUGGGGCUAAUACCGGAUAGGAGCUCCUGCUGCAUGUUGUGGGUUGGAAAGUUUCGGCGGUUGGGGCUGGACUCGCGGCUUAUCAGCUUGUUGGUGGGGUAGUGGCUUACCAAGGCUUUGACGGGUAGCCGGCCUGAGAGGGUGACCGGCCACAUUGGGACUGAGAUACGGACCAGACUGCUACGGGAGGCAGUAGUGGGGAAUAUUGCACAAUGGGCGGAAGCCUGAUGCAGCAACGCCGCGUGCGGGAUGACGGCCUUCGGGUUGUAAACCGCUUUCGCAUGUGACGAAGCGUGAGUGACGGUAAUGGGUAAAGAAGCACCGGCUAACUACGUG